rnacentral:rRNA from 1 species
GACGUAGGGAGCAAGCGUUGUCCGGAAUUACUGGGCGUAAAGAGCUCGUAGGCGGGAGCGUGCGUCCGAGCGGAAAUCUCAAGGCUCAACUUUGGGGCUUUCUCGGAUACGGCGCUUCUUGAGGGUAAGAGAGGAAAGUAGAAUUCCCGGUGUAGCGGUGAAAUGCGUAGAUAUCGGGAGGAAUACCAGUGGCGAAGGCGACUUUCUGGCUUACUCCUGACGCUGAGGAGCGAAAGCGUGGGGAGCGAACGGG